rnacentral:lncRNA from 1 species
GCGGGUCUCCACGUGCCUCAUCUGUUACAGUGACCAGCUUAGGGAUCAUCAUUGUCUUAAUUUUAGUCCUCAGUCAUCAUCGUCUUCAUGGCCAUCAAGUUCUAUAGGAAAUCAACAGACACCAUGAAAGAAGCUGUUCCAUCAUCUAAUAUGUCAUCAGACUAACACUUGAGUGAAGACAAGAAGUGACCUUCAAUGACAGUCUUGCUACCAGCCUUUACUUUGUCACUC